rnacentral:rRNA from 1 species
UACGUAGGCAGCGAGCGUUGUUCGGAAUUACUGGGCGUAAAGAGUGUGUAGGCGGUGCUCUAAGUUCGGUGUGAAAUCUCCUGGCUCAACUGGGAGGGUGCGCCGGAAACUGGAGUGCUUGAGCGUGGGAGAGGAAAGCGGAAUUCCUGGUGUAGCGGUGAAAUGCGUAGAUAUCAGGAGGAACACCUGUGGUGUAGACAGCUUACUGGACCAUUUCUGACGCUGAGACACGAAAGCGUGGGGAGCGAACGGG